UGGGGAAUAUUGGACAAUGGGCGAAAGCCUGAUCCAGCCAUGCCGCGUGUGUGAAGAAGGUCUUCGGAUUGUAAAGCACUUUAAGUUGGGAGGAAGGGCAGUAAAUUAAUACUUUGCUGUUUUGACGUUACCGACAGAAUAAGCACCGGCUAACUCUGUGCCAGCAGCCGCGGUGAUACAGAGGGUGCAAGCGUUAAUCGGAAUUACUGGGCGUAAAGCGCGCGUAGGUGGUUCGUUAAGUUGGAUGUGAAAUCCCCGGGCUCAACCUGGGAACUGCAUUCAAAACUGACGAGCUAGAGUAUGGUAGAGGGUGGUGGAAUUUCCUGUGUAGCGGUGAAAUGCGUAGAUAUAGGAAGGAACACCAGUGGCGAAGGCGACCACCUGGACUGAUACUGACACUGAGGUGCGAAAGCGUGGGGAGCAAAACAGGAUUAGAUACCCUGGUAGUCCACGCCGUAAACGAUGUCAACUAGCCGUUGGGAGCCUUGAGCUCUUAGUGGCGCAGCUAACGCAUUAA
rnacentral:rRNA from 1 species